AUUGAACGCUGGCGGAAUGCUUUACACAUGCAAGUCGAACGGCAGCACGGGGCAACCUGGUGGCGAGUGGCGAACGGGUGAGUAAUACAUCGGAACGUGCCCAAUCGUGGGGGAUAACGUAGCGAAAGUUACGCUAAUACCGCAUACGAUCUACGGAUGAAAGCGGGGGAUCGCAAGACCUCGCGCGAUUGGAGCGGCCGAUGUCAGAUUAGGUAGUUGGUGGGGUAAAGGCUCACCAAGCCGACGAUCUGUAGCUGGUCUGAGAGGACGACCAGCCACACUGGGACUGAGACACGGCCCAGACUCCUACGGGAGGCAGCAGUGAGGAAUAUUGGGCAAUGCUCGAAAGAGUGACCCAGCAACGCCGCGUGGAGGAUGAAGGUAUUCUAUAUCGUAAACUCCUGUGAGAGCAGACGAAAGACAGAUUAUUAAUCUGGAUGACUGUAUGCUCAGAGGAAGCCCCGGCUAACUACGUG
rnacentral:rRNA from 1 species